UACGUAGGGGGCUAGCGUUGUCCGGAUUUAUUGGGCGUAAAGAGCGUGUAGGCGGCCUGGUAGGUCCGGUGUGAAAACUCGAGGCUUAACCUCGAGAUGUCAUCGGAAACCAUUUGGCUAGAGUCCGGAAGAGGAAAGUGGAAUUCCUGGUGUAGCGGUGAAAUGCGCAGAUAUCAGGAAGAACACCAAUGGCGAAAGCAGCUUUCUGGGACGGUACUGACGCUGAGACGCGAAAGCGUGGGGAGCGAACAGG
rnacentral:rRNA from 1 species